GCUGUAAUUUGUGAUUGCUCCUUGGCAAUGAACAUUGUUUUGCCAUAGAGAUCUCACUUAGUAGAAUACCCACACCCACACCAACCAAUAUUAGCCAAAAGCAAAGAUAGCAGGAGUAAGGUACCAACAUCAUCAUUACACCCGUUCUCCCUUUCAUUUCCUUUUCACCAAGUGGCUGGGAAAUUAUAGAUAGUGCUGGUUUCCUUGACAGUGAACAAUAGAACAAUUCAGAGGUAUAAUGCUCAACACAAUACAUUCUGUUACUAUAGGAACCAGGCAUUACAAGUGAUGGGGGUGGUCCAAGACGAAGGCAGAGUUACAGUACACAGUAAGACUUUGCCAAUGUCCAACACUGAAACGCACCAUAUGUUGCAUUUGCAACAUAUCAAAUAACAAAUCACUGUUUGCUGAUUUCCAUUACUGACCAACAGGAUGAAAAGCAAAUAGCUGGAAGUGGUUUCAUAGAUUGAGUGAUUAUGAGAUUGAAGACACCUGUGACAUUAAAGGUCACUGGGCAGUUUUAGUUUGCUUUCUCUUUCUGUUGUGUGAUUCAAAAUCCCUCACAGCAGUCAGCUAUGUAAGAAUGGAAUAUUUGUCCCCUACAUCAAACCUGUAUAAGCUGAACUGAAAGAUGCUUCCCCACCAGGCUGUUAACAAUUUAACUUCUGCUGGCAUCUCUGUUUCCAAGAGGAAGACAAGCAGGAAGUUGAAUGCUCCACAGCUGAGAACACGCAGAUUUGGAAGCAGCAGGCUGGACCAGAUGGAAGAGUGAUUACUGACGCUGAAAAGUUAUCGUCUUUCAAAAAAUCUUGGCAUUUGAAAUGACAGGAUGGAAAAAAAAUGAAAAUGAGAACAUAAAAGUGGGUUAGGCUUGUUGCUGGAAAGUUUUCUUAUCACAGUCCCCUCUAACAGUGGGAAGCUGAGAAAGUUCCUCCACUUAAAAACAGGCCAUGGCAAUAAAGCACCCUUUCUCUAAACUGGUCUUCCCUUUGAGCAGCGUUUUCUAUCCUGCUGUGGUCUGGAAGUGCUGGACUACAGUCUCCAUUAUGCCAAUGGCUGUCUGGAGAUGAUGAGAGUUGUAAUUCAGGACCCCAGAGAAGCAGCAGGCUUAUAUUAUUUUUAGCUCCUCUUCCCCCAUUCCUGCAUUUCAGGCAGCUUCUAAAUAUAACACAUAUCCACUUUAAAAAAAAAAUCUAACUGAUGAUACUAAACAGUAAAACAACAACUUACAAUAGAUCAAUAUGGGAUCUUAAAAUCCCCAUACUGAAUCAUCUCAAGUUAUAUAUAUAUUCUCAUAAAGCAAGGCUUUUCACAAAUCUGAAGAGAAGAUCAGGCAAUUGCUACUGAGGAAGUUCUUGAGAGUUGAGGUGUAAGUUGAAGACAUCAAUGGAGAGAAAUCACAACAUUAUGGAGAGAAAUCACAACAUUAUAAGGCCUGUACCAAAUCCAGACUGCAAAAAUCCAGAUAGAUAAUUACAGUUUUCUGUAUCUUUUUGCUCGCACCUUGUUAUUUGAAUUUCUGAAAUGCAGAUAUGGUAACCAUACUUUUUUACUUAUUCCUCACCCACAGGUUUCACUGGCAUCAACUCAAUGCUUAAAAGUACAUGAAAAUUUGUGAUAUCUAAAUAUUACAGAAUUUGCUUUCUUUAAUUUGCUGACAGGGAAACACUUUCUCUCCCAACAAGGGAAGUAAGGCCAACAAUAGCAACAACAGUGAAAGCCUACAUAAAUACAUAGAUAACAUGAAAAUAUUUCAUAUACAUGGAUAUCUAAAGAUAUGAGUCACUCUGAGUAAUUUGGAUAGAAUAAGUGACAUAACAAUCACAGUUUCUGAUUCCAAACAAAUGAAUGCCUUUGUUUUGAUAUGGAAACAUUGUGCCAAUUGUGCAGAAGAAGCAUGAAAUCACACUAUUCUUCCAGGAUUACAUCUUCAGAUCUAGUCUGCUACAUGUCAAUAAUGUGGUAUCAGAAGAGAACAUGGGGUAGGUAGGAAGUAUGCUGAGGUGUUUUUUUUUUUCAUUCUACCAUCCCUAUCACAUUCCAGAACUGUCUAUAUCACAAACCUUGGCCAGCAA